GGUUAAGCGACUAAGCGUACACGGUGGAUGCCCUGGCAGUCAGAGGCGAUGAAGGACGUGCUAAUCUGCGAUAAGCGUCGGUAAGGUGAUAUGAACCGUUAUAACCGGCGAUUUCCGAAUGGGGAAACCCAGUGUGAUUCGUCACACUAUCAUUAACUGAAUCCAUAGGUUAAUGAGGCGAACCGGGGGAACUGAAACAUCUAAGUACCCCGAGGAAAAGAAAUCAACCGAGAUUCCCCCAGUAGCGGCGAGCGAACGGGGAGCAGCCCAGAGCCUGAAUCAGUGUGUGUGUUAGUGGAAGCGUCUGGAAAGGCGUGCGAUACAGGGUGACAGCCCCGUACACAAAAAUGCACAUACUGUGAGCUCGAUGAGUAGGGCGGGACACGUGGUAUCCUGUCUGAAUAUGGGGGGACCAUCCUCCAAGGCUAAAUACUCCUGACUGACCGAUAGUGAACCAGUACCGUGAGGGAAAGGCGAAAAGAACCCCGGCGAGGGGAGUGAAAAAGAACCUGAAACCGUGUACGUACAAGCAGUGGGAGCACGCUUAGGCGUGUGACUGCGUACCUUUUGUAUAAUGGGUCAGCGACUUAUAUUCUGUAGCAAGGUUAACCGAAUAGGGGAGCCGAAGGGAAACCGAGUCUUAACUGGGCGUUAAGUU
rnacentral:rRNA from 1 species